AAAUGUCCUUAAGAAAGAUAAAGUGAUAUAACAGCUGAAAGAGGAAAAGCAACUGCUGAAGUAAGCCUCAGAAAAAGAACUGAGAAGGGAGUUAAAAGCUGUCCAGAAGAAAGAAGCAGCAAACAAGUUGAACUUAAAGGAGCUGAAUCCACAUGGAUCCCUGCCCAUGACCACUGCCAGGUGCCAAAGACUCCCAGGAUGUUUGAGUGUGAAGUGCCCGCUGUGCAGAUUUACCACUUCAGCAACAAGUGCUGAUUCUGUUCUCAAACCCACUUGAGUCUGGUAAAAUACAAAGUCAAAACAGAACCAAUUUCUUCCUGGAAUUGUUUCAGCAUGGGUUUUCUGCAAGUUUCAUCUUUGAAAGCCUCAUCAGUCCCCAUUUAUUGUGGUACUUGCUGUGUGUGAUGAGAACGAGGGAGUUUUGCACAUUUGGAGUGGCUGCUGUGUGUCUUAGCACCUCUUAUCCAGCUCUCCUGAGGAUCAGAGGAACAGGCAGCUGCUUUCUUCAUCCCUCCUCGUGUGGAUACUUCAGCAGUCACCAACUUUCACCCACCUUCAAAGGCAGGCGAGGGGCAGAUCGCCGAUGACUCUUCAUGCAACGAAAAACACCUAACAAAGAAAUGUGUGUAAAUGACUAUU